UUGUGUUAUUACACAUCAAGUUAGACAUCAUAGUUGCCUGGGCUUGUCUGAAGAAAGAGCAUAUUGUAGAAAGUAAGUGACAUCUUGAACAGUUGUGUUAUUUCACAUCAAGUUAGACAUCAUAGUUGCCUGGGCUUGUCUGAAGAAAGAGCAUAUUGUAGAAAGUAAGUGACAUCUUGAACAGUUGUGUUAUUUCACAUCAAGUUAGACAUCAUAGUUGCCUGGGCUUGUCUGAAGAAAGAGCAUAUUGUAGAAAGUAAGUGACAUCUUGAUCAGUUGUGUUAUUUCACAUCAAGUUAGACAUCAUAGUUGUGUGGGCUUGUCUGAAGAAAGAGUAUAUUGUAGAAAAAAAUCAACCAAUUUAUGUAGCAUAUGGAUCACGUUCUUCUUAUGGCCCUCCCCCAGUUCCAGAGUCAUGCAGGAUUCUUGAAAAUGGAUACGAUAUUCCAUGGGAUGUGCCAGGAUACAGGAGUAGUGGGUCAAGUGAUGGAAACUACACCAAACUGAAACCUGGCAACCUCCAGAUAUAAAGACAUUUUCAUGCUGCUAGAACCAAACAAGUUUCUGUACUCAUAAACCUUUAGUUCAUAUCGUUUUAUUUGAUUAAAUGAGACUACUUGAAUGUACUAUUAAUGGUAACAUGAGGUGGUGAACACUAAGAACAUAGUUACCAAAACUGUAUUUCAGGCUUAUGCAGCUGGAUCAAGUAGGUAAGUAUUAGUGAUUUGUAAUGAAUAUUGUACCAUUGUAUAAGAUGGAUUUAUUUACUAUGUCAACUACUGGUUUACCACAGAUGUAUUGAUGACACCCACACUUACGACUAACAUAAUUAAUAAUCUUUGUUCCAGGUGGAUGCCUGAAUUAGGUUUUGUGGGAAAUGAUAGUUCAUUCAGCUGUUUAGAGAAACAUCUGAAGUGUUUUUAUGUAUAUAAUCCCUUCGAUAUUAUGUAUACAUUAUAGUGGUAACCAUAAAAAACUUAUCCAAA